rnacentral:rRNA from 1 species
UUGGAGGGCAAGUCUGGUGCCAGCAGCCGCGGUAAUUCCAGCUCCAAUAGCGUAUAUUAAAGUUGUUGCAGUUAAAAAGCUCGUAGUUGAACUUCGGGAUCAAUGUUUCGGUCAUGCCGUUGGUAUGUACUGAUAUUAUUGAUUUCUCACCUUCUAAGGAACCGUAAUGCCAUUAAUUUGGUGUCACGGGGAAUUAGGACUGUUACCUUGAAAAAAUUAGAGUGUUUAAAGCAGGCUCACGCUUGAAUACAUUAGCAUGGAAUAAUGAAAUAGGACAUCCGAUUCUAUUUUGUUGGUUUCUAGGAUCGAUGUAAUGAUUAAUAGGGAUAGUUGGGGGCAUUAGUAUUCAAUUGUCAGAGGUGAAAUUCUUGGAUUUAUUGAAGACUAACUACUGCGAAAGCAUUUGCCAAGGAUGUUUUCAUUAAUCAAGAACGAAAGUUAGGGGAUCGAAGACGAUCAGAUACCGUCGUAGUCUUAACCAUAAACUAUGCCGACUAGGGAUCGGAUGAUGUUAAUUUUUUAAUGACUCAUUCGGCGCCUUACGGGAAACCAAAGUGUUUGGGUUC